rnacentral:lncRNA from 1 species
AUAAUCACAUAAUCUUCCAACAGAUGUUAUUCUCAUGAAUGAUCAAUUAGCUAAGCAUAGAUAUAAUCAUGAAUUCAUGGAAUCAUUCCUAACCAGAUAAAGUGUUACACUCAAGCAUUCAAAAGUGUUUCACUCAAAGGUGUAUAAAGGCCACUCUUUCCCUCUAUUAUCUACAUGUCACAGAAUAAAAUUUCCUUUCAUUUACCACAAUUAACAUUCUCACACACACGUCAUCACAAGGACUUUUUCAAGGCUUAUAAUGUGGCUUGGGCUAACAAGAAAAAUUGGUUUUUCUAGAUCACAAAAUCCUUGAGUUAAGAGAGUUAUUUAUACAUUCAUAAUUCAAGCACAAACUCUCUUUAACCAAUCAAUCUCAUUCCCAAGUUUCCCCCUUUUUUCAUUGAGCUUAUCUUUCUUUCAUUCUAUCUUUUUCAUCUUUUUCUAUCAUUUUCAUCUUUCCCAACAACCCCAAACUUGAACCUUUAUCAAUACCAUGCAAUAAUUCUCAACUUACC